AUCCCAAUUUUCAAAUUAUCCAAAUCCAGAUUUUUAUAUUAUUUCGCACUUUUCUUGUUUUCUUCUAUUUUUCGCACUUGGAGCUUCGGAUGGAAUACAAGUAAACAUUUUCAGUGAACAAAGCGAGAGUGGACGACGAAACCAUAUUGGUGUACUCAAAAGUCAGUGCCUGGUUGGAUGAAAAGGGAUUCAUGAAGGAUUUAAAAGAGUAAUCUUUACUUGUCUUUAUUAUAUUUAUUAAUUGUUCUUUUGUAGAACUUAAAAUAAAACAAUGCAAAAAUAUA
rnacentral:sRNA from 1 species